CCGCAGCAGAAAUUUUCUAAGUACGUCAAUCAACAAACCACAGCAACAGCAGCUGAAAACACGCCGGCAGUGUUGGUGACUGCUAUGUCAAGCCUCCUGCACUCAUUCAAGUCAAUGUGAUUUGACGCCUGCGCUGGCUGUUAUGACGUGCUGCAGUGAAGGCAGCGGCAGGAUGAUGUGAGGGGUUUUUCUAUGCUGGUCAAUGUGGUUGAAAUUGGGCCUGGAGAUUAAGCUGGCGAAUACACAUUUCUGAUUUCUCUCUCAUCUUUGGUGCCCAUGUGUAGACGUGCUAAUACAAGGAACAAAGCUUUUUCUAUGAAGCGAAGAGGCAAAAACUCCUGUCUGGGUUCUUAACUACCAUGAGCAAGCUUGAAAAACCACACAGUAACAAUCAAUAAUGUUUGUUAUUUCUUCAAAGAAAUCAGUUAAUAACUACUUUUUAACAAAGGUUUCAAGAAAUUCUACAUAGUUUCUAGUUUCAAGCUAUCAUAAUCGGAAGACGUGGAACAGACAAUAUCAUCUAAUAAUGGUCACGCACCAACUCUUAGUCAUCAUUUCCUCCUCACCCUGCAACAUAGAGUACCUCACCUCACCUUGUAAUAUAUGACCUG
rnacentral:lncRNA from 1 species